rnacentral:rRNA from 1 species
CCUACGGGAGGCAGCAGUGAGGAAUAUUGGUCAAUGGACGAGAGUCUGAACCAGCCAAGUAGCGUGAAGGAUGACUGCCCUAUGGGUUGUAAACUUCUUUUACAUGGGAAUAAAACGUUCCACGUGUGGGAUUUUGUAUGUACCAUAUGAAUAAGGAUCGGCUAACUCCGUGCCAGCAGCCGCGGUAAUACGGAGGAUCCGAGCGUUAUCCGGAUUUAUUGGGUUUAAAGGGAGCGUAGGUGGAUUGUUAAGUCAGUUGUGAAAGUUUGCGGCUCAACCGUAAAAUUGCAGUUGAAACUGGCAGUCUUGAGUACAGUAGAGGUGGGCGGAAUUCGUGGUGUAGCGGUGAAAUGCUUAGAUAUCACGAAGAACUCCGAUUGCGAAGGCAGUUCACUGGACUGCAACUGACACUGAGGCUCGAAAGUGUGGGUAUCAAACAGGAUUAGAUACCCCUGUAGUC